rnacentral:rRNA from 1 species
GACGAACGCUGGCGGCGUGCUUAACACAUGCAAGUCGAGCGGUAAGGCCCUUUCGGGGGUACACGAGCGGCGAACGGGUGAGUAACACGUGGGUGACCUGCCCUCAGCUCUGGGAUAAGCCUGGGAAACUGGGUCUAAUACCGGAUAUGACUCCAUGACGCAUGUUGUGGGGUGGAAAGCCUUGUGCGGCUGAGGAUGGGCCCGCGGCCUAUCAGCUUGGUGGUGGGGUGANGGCCUACCAAGGCGACGACGGGUAGCCGGCCUGAGAGGGCGACCGGCCACACUGGGACUGAGACACGGCCCAGACUCCUACGGGAGGCAGCAGUGGGGAAUCUUGCGCAAUGGGCGAAAGCCUGACGCAGCGACGCCGCGUGAGGGAUGACGGCCU